rnacentral:rRNA from 1 species
UACGUAGGCAGCGAGCGUUGUUCGGAGUUACUGGGCGUAAAGCGUGUGUAGGCGGCUUUGCAAGUCGGAUGUGAAAUCCCACGGCUCAACCGUGGAAGUGCAUCCGAAACGGCAUCGCUUGAGUCUCGGAGAGGAAGGUGGAAUGCUUGGUGUAGAGGUGAAAUUCGUAGAUAUCAAGCAGAACACCUGCGGCGAAGGCGGCCUUCUGGACGAUGACUGACGCUGAGACACGAAAGCGUGGGGAGCAAACAGG